AGUGAACGCUGGCGGUAGGCCUAACACAUGCAAGUCGAACGGCAGCACAGUAAGAGCUUGCUCUUACGGGUGGCGAGUGGCGGACGGGUGAGGAAUACAUCGGAAUCUACUUUUUCGUGGGGGAUAACGUAGGGAAACUUACGCUAAUACCGCAUACGACCUACGGGUGAAAGCAGGGGAUCUUCGGACCUUGCGCGAUUGAAUGAGCCGAUGUCGGAUUAGCUAGUUGGCGGGGUAAAGGCCCACCAAGGCGACGAUCCGUAGCUGGUCUGAGAGGAUGAUCAGCCACACUGGAACUGAGACACGGUCCAGACUCCGGCGGGAGGCAGCAGUGGGGAAUAUGGGACAAUGGGCGCAAGCCUGAUCCAGCCAUACCGCGUGGGUGAAGAAGGCCUUCGGGUUGUAAAGCCCUUUUGUUGGGAAAGAAAAGCAGCAGGUUAAUACCCCGCUGUUCUGACGGUACCCAAAGAAUAAGCACCGGCGAACUUCGU
rnacentral:rRNA from 1 species